rnacentral:lncRNA from 1 species
UUUGUUCCUAUUUUUCAUCCGGCGGUGGGUUUUAUCACCGCCAUGACUGGUGCUAUGGUUGGUUCUCGCGCUUUGGGAAAAAACCACACGGGUUGGUGUUAUUCAAAUCAGAUCUGCACUUUCGAGUUCUAAGCGUGUGGGUUCUGUCAGAUGGCAGCUCCAUUUGACAAAGUAUUCAGAUUGAUAGGCUAGAAACGGUCAUACAAACUUGUUGUCUUGUGUCUCAAUGAGUGGUUCGCGGGUGUAUUCGCUACCGCGUUGGCGGUCAAAUUCAUUGCCAUUGGUAAAAGGUUGGAGUUCAUAAUUGUGCCUAAGUUGUGCUUGCAUGAUGGCUUGUUGUGGGCCAGAAUUUGCUAUUGAUCAUCGCAGUAAACGGUUGGUGCGUGUGGAUUCGUUAAUUACCGUGUUGGCGGUCGAAUCCACUCCCCACUUUCAAGCAUCUGUCUGUGGUUAUGUAUCCCAGUCAUCCUGUUCACUAACAUGAGAUUGUAUGGACUCGAAAAAGUCAUUAAUGCUUGUUGUCAUUGUUGCAAGGAGUUAAUGAUACUUGAUCCGAUUUCGUGUUGACGAUCGAUUCAUUCACCAAACUUUUAACCCGAUUAAUAGAAUUGUUUAGGUUUGGAUCUAUUUUAUGGAUCAUUUUUUAUGUUUUGCCCGUUAGGGUUGUUGACUGGGUCAAUUGUUAUGUCCCCCCAGUUUUUAUGUAAUUUUUCUCUGUUUUCAAUAAUAUAUAUGAGCAAUUGACAACAAAUUAGAGUAGGGUACCAACUUAGUUGGACACUAUUCUUUUUGAUGUCAUUUUGCUCUUGACUUAUAAAAAAAAAG